AUUAAGAAUCGGGUCUUGGUCACGGACUUCAGCAAAGGAUGGAUUCGGAGUAAAUGAAUGCAUCAAGGCUCUUGUGUGGGAUAUCUUAUCUGAUAAAGAGAGUAAAACUCCGGAUCCAUUAACCAAAACCAAGGAUGUGUUUGAUUGGGAUGAUGAUUGUUCCUCUUCUAUUAUCAGAUUAGGCAGACAAGAUCUUGACCUGGCGAAUUCCAGGGGUCGGGCUAGGAAAUGCUGCCAUUAAAGGGACUGCAAGCGUAAUUUCGAGUGAUCCUCCAUAUCUAUAGGAUGGCAUCCCUCAUUCACAAACGAAAAAGAACUGUACGCAAACUACUGUGCUGUACUGUACUGUACUGUACUGUACU
rnacentral:misc_RNA from 1 species